UACGGGGGGGGUAAGCGUUGUUCGGAAUUACUGGGCGUAAAGGGCUCGUAGGCGGCCAACUAAGUCAGACGUGAAAUCCCUCAGCUUAACUGGGGAACUGCGUCUGAUACUGGAUGGCUUGGAUUCGGGAGAGGAAUGCGGAAUUCCAGGUGUAGCGGUGAAAUGCGCAGAUAUCAGGAGGAACACCAAUGGCGAAGGCAGCUCGCUGGGACGGUACUGACGCUGAGGCGCGAAAGCGUGGGGAGCAAACAGG
rnacentral:rRNA from 1 species